rnacentral:rRNA from 1 species
AUUGAACGCUGGCGGCAGGCCUAACACAUGCAAGUCGAGCGGAUGAAGGGAGCUUGCUCCUGGAUUCAGCGGCGGACGGGUGAGUAAUGCCUAGGAAUCUGCCUGGUAGUGGGGGAUAACGUCCGGAAACGGGCGCUAAUACCGCAUACGUCCUGAGGGAGAAAGUGGGGGAUCUUCGGACCUCACGCUAUCAGAUGAGCCUAGGUCGGAUUAGCUAGUUGGUGGGGUAAAGGCCUACCAAGGCGACGAUCCGUAACUGGUCUGAGAGGAUGAUCAGUCACACUGGAACUGAGAAACGGUCCAGACUCCUACGGGAGGCAGCAGUGGGGAAUAUUGGACAAUGGGCGAAAGCCUGAUCCAGCCAUGCCGCGGGUGUGAAGAAGGUCUUCGGAUUGUAAAGCACUUUAAGUUGGGAGGAAGGGCAGUAAGUUAAUACCUUGCUGUUUUGACGUUACCAACAGAAUAAGCACCGGCUAACUGCGU